rnacentral:lncRNA from 1 species
GUUGUCUCUACCUAUGUGGAGCUCUCUCAGUUCUCCCAGAGUGUGGGCAUCAAGGACAAGUGGCUGCACUGUGAGCAGAUGGCCAUUCAGAAAAGCAGUUUAUGUUGGUUCUCCAGGGAGGGGUUGUUGGCCACAGCUCAGCUCAUGCAGGCCCUGGCCUACACCAAGCUCUGCCUUGGUCAUCUUGACUUCUCCAUCAAGCUGGGUAAUGGGACUUAGGGAUGGUGGGUCUAGGGCUUUUAGAGAGUACAUGUUCACAGCUAGACCUCACAUGGUGCUCUUAAACCUCCUCAGGUUUUCAAGCUCGUGAGAUAUGCAGACACCUCCAGAAACCAGCUCUGGAGAAUCUGAUUCUCUCAGUUCUCUUCAGAUCUGCAUUUCUGAAGAAGUAUUAAGAUCAUUUUCUGUCAUUUGUAUUUGUUUCCUAAGAGGGGUGUGUAUAUUUUCCCAGAGAAGUUUGGAGUGGAGAGGGAGAUGCUGUUCCAUUUCCACACCCUGGGAUAUCCUUCCCUUGGCCACUCCAGACACAUUAUCUUAAGUGUGGAAGAGUCAGGAGUGGAAAUGCAGAGUCAGAGCUACUAUAUAUUCCUCAGUACUUGGGUCUCAUGGACAAAGUUUCUUCAAAAAAAAAUCUGCAGGGAGAUAGAGAAUUGCAGCAGCUGAAGACUCUGGAAACUGCCUCAGAGGCAAUCUCCCACCUCCUUUGCCUAGAGAUGGGUCUGAUCCCAGGCUUAGAUAUUCUCUUUAUAAAUAGAGCUAUGAAGAGAUUUAAAGGAUGUUAGGCUGCUUUGAAGGUGUAAGACCCCUUCCUUUCCUACCCAUCCUCCUCACUCCCUAGCUGGUCCCAGUGGCUCUCUCUCUCGGCAGAUUUGGUCUGUGUGUCCAUGUACUGGAGAGUCAGUGGGCGCUCAUUUCUCAGAGUUAUGAUGUCCUUGGCCUGGCCUGCUUUUACUCUGCUUGCUUAGAUCUGCUGCUCUAUGGAAAAGGAUUGCUGUGUCGGCCCUUUAGUGAGUGUCUGCGUUUCGUUCAAGUCUACGAGCACAGCCGUGUUCUAACCUCUCAGAGCAAUGUCAUGCUGGGGGUCCACUCCUCCCUGGCCAUGUGGUAAUGUCUUACUCAAGGGCUGUGGAAAAGGAUAGACAUUUAUGUCAUUUAAGCUGUCUCUCCCCACCAGACAGGACUUUUGAACCUCUCUAACCAACUUUUAAAGACCAUUCACCUCCCAUACCCUCCCAUCUUAUUAGAAGGGCUCUUGUCCUUUAACAGGUUUUGGCCUAUAGGUCAAGGGUUACGUUUAGGGUUACAUUUAACUGCUAGAGUAACCCAUAGCAAGGCUGAAUAUAAUUGGUCUCCUUUUAAGUUUCCUUGUAUGUGAGUUAGUAGCCUUGGUCACUUUCUAGCAUCACAAUUCUGAUUGUCCAUGAGGUCUUAGAGCCUUAAAGAAGUGAUGAUUUUAAGCAAAAGUCAUGGUGGGUAAGCAGCGGAUAUUGCUGCAAGCUGUUACUCUUUUCCUCCAGGUUUGCCCAGGAAUCACAGUGGGACCUGUUUAAGCACUAUUUCUCCAACGCUUGCAGUUGGUGAAAAGAACCAAUGCCUCGCUAUUUGGUGCACAUGGCUUUGUCCGAUUCCUAGAAUGCCAUGUGUUAAUGUUACAGAAAAUGCCAGAGGGUAUCUUCAUGCAUAUUCCUCUAGAGCUUCACAGCCAAACCCUUGAGGCUUAUUUUGCCAUCAGUAACUCCUUCCUGUUCCCCCAGCCAUGAGUGAAUAUGCUGAAUGAGGACCUUUUACUGUAAGGAGUUCUUCUCUCAAUGUGUGACCUGCCCUGUCUAUCACCAGUGGGUAUCUGAGCUUAAGGCCUCUGUAAUGAGAUGUGAAAAGAGAGAAUUGAUGUCCCUGACUAACAGCAUCAGACCUUUUGACACCUGCUUGACCAGGAUUUGGAUAAAAGGAGAAUUUCUGCAGGAAAAUAACUCUUAGAAAAGAAACUUAGGAAUACAGAGAUUUGACAGAGUGGCUGAUGUCAAGGAGAACAAGGAUGCAGAAGAAACUCAAGAUGUAUGUAUUAAAACAAAAGAACAAUAACCUGAAGGGACCAUGAUUCUGUUAUUGUAUAUAACACAAGGAAAUGCCCCAGAUUCUCCUUUAAAAGAUAUAAUGUACAUAUUAAGUAUACUAGCCUUUAUAGUUACUGCUAUCUACAUGUUUAUCAAAAUAAAAGACUAUUUUUUUCU